UGAUUUGUUAAUUAUACCGAUACAUGUAAAAAGAACUUUUUUUUCAUAAUCAAAAACCGUGUCAUUUUAAAACAUGUUUAUUAAAAAUAAAACAACUAAGCACUUUUAUUUUGAACGUCCAGGAGCAAGUCUGCUGUCCACCCUAACUUAUUUUAGUAUUUAUUAUUAUUCUUUACUUAAUUAAUAAUUGAAUACCAAACUGUAUUCAUUAUGCAACCCGAUCAUCCACUUUUCUAUCGCCUUUUUUAACUAAUGCUUAUUGAAACUUGUAUAUUACUAUGUUGUAUUAUAAUAUCAUAUAUAAUUAGACCCUUGAUAUUGCGAUUUAACGCAAAUUACCCAAUUUUGUACCUCAUGUACCGUCGUAUAUAAAUGGUUUGAGCAAAUAAACGAAGUGAAAUC
rnacentral:sRNA from 1 species